AUACGUAAGCAUUUUUAUGGUUACUCAACAAGAAAACUGUCCGAGCAUCCGUCCGUCCUCCGCGUCAGACGAUCGCUUUCAAGAGAGAGACAGCAGCAGC
rnacentral:lncRNA from 1 species